rnacentral:rRNA from 1 species
GUCUACGGCCAUGCCACCCUGAACACGCCCGAUUCCGUCUGAUCUCGGAAGCUAAGCAGGUUUAGGGAUGGUAGUACUUGGAUGGGAGGCCACCUAGGAAGACCAGGUAUAUAUA